UACGUAGGGUGCAAGCGUUGUCCGGAAUUAUUGGGCGUAAAGAGCUCGUAGGCGGUGUGUCGCGUCGGCCGUGAAAACUUGCAGCUUAACUGUGGGCGUGCGGUCGAUACGGGCAUCACUGGAGUUCGGCAGGGGAGACUGGAAUUCCUGGUGUAGCGGUGGAAUGCGCAGAUAUCAGGAGGAACACCGGUGGCGAAGGCGGGUCUCUGGGCCGAUACUGACACUGAGAAGCGAAAGCGUGGGGAGCGAACAGG
rnacentral:rRNA from 1 species